UCUUAACUUUUAAAAUCCUUUGGCAG
rnacentral:piRNA from 1 species